rnacentral:rRNA from 1 species
UGGGGAAUAUUGCACAAUGGGCGAAAGCCUGAUGCAGCAACGCCGCGUGAGUGAUGAAGGCCUUCGGGUUGUAAAGCUCUUUCGACCGGAACGAUAAUGACGGUACCGGGAGAAGAAGCUGCGGCUAACUACGUGCCAGCAGCCGCGGUAAUACGUAGGCAGCAAGCGUUGUUCGGAGUUACUGGGCGUAAAGAGUGCGUAGGCGGUUUUCUAAGUUCGGUGUGAAAUCUCCCGGCUUAACUGGGAGGGUGCGCCGAAGACUGGGAAGCUGGAGUGUGGGAAAGGCAGGCGGAAUGCCUGGUGUAGCGGUGAAAUGCGUAGAUAUCAGGAGGAACACCGGCGGUGUAGACGGCUUGCUAGACCAUAACUGACGCUGAGGCACGAAAGCGUGGGUAGCAAACA